rnacentral:rRNA from 1 species
GUCCACGCAGUAAACGAUGAUAACUCGUUGUCGGCGAUACACAGUCGGUGACUAAGCGAAAGCGAUAAGUUAUCCACCUGGGGAGUACGUUCGCAAGAAUGAAACUCAAAGGAAUUGACGGGGGCCCCGCACAAGCGGAGGAACAUGUGGUUUAAUUCGAUGAUACGCGAGGAACCUUACCCGGGCUUGAAAGUUAGCGACGAUUCUUGAAAGAGGAUUUCCCUUCGGGGCGCGAAACUAGGUGCUGCAUGGUUGUCGU